ensembl:lincRNA
AGUUCAAGAACAACCUGGUCUACAAAGUGAGUUUCAGGACAGGCUCCGAAGCUACAGAGAAAAACCAACUCUCCACUUGAGGAUUCUAAUUUGUUCUAUUCAUUCUUUUUCACAAACAUCACUUUCAUGGUGCAGUUAAUUUUAUAUAUUGUAGCCUGAAAGGCUCUGUUAAACAAGCAACAACAAACAAAUGAAACAAAAUACAACACUAAGCAUUAAUUACAAGAUCAGAGCCUGAUUCCUUGAGGAUCUAGCAGAAAAUGAAUGAGCAAGCAGAGAAGAAACCUAUUAAGCUCUCUCUUGCACUCAGGUAGUACGAAAGCCAGGCCUGCCCGUGUUGGAGUCCCAGCCUCCCCACCUGUUCUUGGCUUUAUAGGGCAAGUCUUUCUGUACCUGUGCCUUGCAAGUCAACUACAGACAAGUGCAUCUGCUAAUGGCAGCCAGCAAGAGUUCAGUAUUAACUGUCAAUACAUAGACUCCAUACAUUUUACCUGGAAGAAAACAUAUGUCACCUAGGUUCAAGAGGCCAGAGAACUGAAGACCGAAAAGCAGUGAAGAACUACCAGAGAAAUGCCAUGGAUGAUCACUUGGAACCCAGCAGCCCAGAGAAAGCCAACAGUCACAUGGGAUAGACUACCACAAGACUGCAUUCUCCUCUUACAGCUUUACACAGUUGCUGACACUUGUUCAUGGUUGUAAAAGCCCUACUCUAUCUCUGAAUUAGUGUUUGUAUAAUAUUAUAUAAAAUCAAGUUACCCAAGCAAGAGGUACCAAAGAGUUAUAGGAUAUAAUUAAAAUUUAUCUGAAGGCAUUCAGAUGUGGACUAUUGGCAGCUUUAAGCCUGAUACACCAAUGGAUGCUUAUGAAAGUCUACUCUUUUUAUCAUUUUAAUUUUUUUAAAUUAUAAUUACAUCAUUCUUCCCCUGUUUCUUUCUCCAACCCCACUCAUUUUCUCAAAUUAAUGAUAGACAAGCAAUUUCUGUGCUCUUUCCUGGGGAAGAUUGUUUCUCCCACUCUCAGUAUUCCUUACUUGCCUAUAGUUCUUGGUGUAGGGUUGAGGCCUCAUGAAGUUUCCCAUCCAUGUCAGCACGUCUAUUGCCAUUGUCCUUGUUCAGGUCAGGAUUAAAGGUAGGUUAGUGAGACUCGAUGGGCACAGGCCCAAAUGACAUAUCCAGAGGUCUACACUUUCUUGAAAAUGGAGCAUGUGCAUGAAAUGAAUUUUAAAUAAUUAAAAUGUAAGGUCCCAGGCGAAUACCUUUUGUUUUUAUUUAUCUUAAAUAUAUCAAGAUAAAGGAAAUCUUCUGAUAGAGAUCAAAAGGCUUAAAUUCUUUGCUAUUCACUAAAGCCCUUUAAAGCCGUUUGAUUGAUAUGCCAACAAUGAUCAGUAGUCUCAUGUCCUUAAUGUGUUAGACAUAAAAUAUGAGCUAUUGGAAUAAAUAAAAUAUGCAACAUCAUCCAUAGCCAUAUGCGACAUAA